AUGAUGGCAUAGGGAGAGACCGUCUCUUGAAGACGGCGCCGAAGGAGUAAGCCCUCUACGGGGUGAAUCUCUCAGGCAAAAGGACCUUUGCCGGACG
rnacentral:ncRNA from 2 species